AGAGUUUGAUCCUGGCUCAGGAUUAACGCUGGCGGCGUGCCUGACACAUGCAAGUCGAACGAGUGCUAGUUGCCCGCAAGGGUGGCUAGCGCGAGUGGCGGACGGGUGAGUAACACGUGGGCAACCUGCCUGAGAGUGCAGAAUAACCCUGCGAAAGCAGAGCUAAUACUGCAUGUGGUUGUCGGAUGGCAUCAUCUGACAACUAAAGUCGCAAGACGCUCUCAGAUGGGCCCGCGGCCUAUUAGCUAGUUGGUGAGGUAACGGCCCACCAAGGCAAUGAUGGGUAGCUGGUCUGAGAGGACGGACAGCCACACUGGGACUGAGACACGGCCCAGACUCCUACGGGAGGCAGCAGUGAGGAAUUUUCCGCAAUGGGCGAAAGCCUGACGGAGCAACGCCGCGUGAGGGAUGAAGUCUCUAGGGAUGUAAACCUCUGUUGGGAGGGACGAAGAUCUGACGGUACCUCCUGAGGAAGCCCCGGCUAACUACGUGCCAGCAGCCGCGGUAAUACGUAGGGGGCGAGCGUUAUCCGGAUUUACUGGGCGUAAAGAGCGCGUAGGCGGUUCCGUAAGUUGGUUGUGAAAGUUCGAGGCUCAACCUCGAAACUGCGUCCAAUACUGCGGGGCUGGAGUGCAAGAGAGGCAAGUGGAAUUUGCGGUGUAGUAGUGAAAUGCGUAGAUAUCGCAAGGAACACCAGUGGCGAAGGCGGCUUGCUAGCUUGUAACUGACGCUGAGGCGCGAAAGCUAGGGGAGCGAACGGGAUUAGAUACCCCGGUAGUCCUAGCCCUAAACAAUGUUCACUAGGUGUUGGUGGUAUUGACGCCAUCAGUGCCGCAGCUAACGCAUUAAGUGAACCGCCUGGGGAGUACGGGCCGCAAGGUUGAAACUCAAGGGAUUGACGG
rnacentral:rRNA from 1 species